AUGUCUAGUGGGCCUACCUUGGAUUAUCUUCACAGACCAAAGAAACUGUUUAGCUCUGAUCCAGAAACAACUAUGGGACUUGUACAACAUGAAGGAGGUCCUUGUGGUGUCUUAGCAACCGUGCAGGCUUAUGUCCUUAAAUAUCUUUUGUUUUUUUUCUGAUGACUUGAGUAAUCCAGAGAUCAGUAACCCGCUGUAUACUCUGGGACAAAGACGCUUUUAUCAGAGUUCUUUUGCUGCAGGGGAUGAUUUUUCAUCCCUUACUGAUGAUAGAAAGACAAGAGCAUUGGUUCAUGCUAUGGUGGAGAUUCUUUUUUUAUGUGGAACUGGGAAAAGAGCUGUUGUAGCAUCUGUUGCACGUGCCAAUCGUGGAAAAAUUGAUGCAGCUUUGGAAGAUCUUUCUGUCGAAUCAGCAGUGGAUCUGCAGAAAGUUCUUAAAACAAGUACAUUUACUUCAAGGAAGGAUGCAUUCAACACCCUUUUGGCUAACAUUCAUUUGUUUCAAAGUCGACUGGGAGCCAUGCUAUUUCUUAUCUCUGCUUUGCUUUCACGAGAAUUAGAAGAUAUCCAAGCAGACAGGGAUGAUCCAAGCCAGCCAUUGGUCACUGCUCCAUUUGGUCAUGCUUCACAGGAAAUUGUGAAUUUAUUACUCUGUGGAGAGGCUGUUCCAAAUGUAUUUGAUGGCAAGAUGGACCUUGGUGGUGGCAUGUCCUUGAAGGGCAUACCAAACAAUGUUGAAGUUGGUUUUCUUACCCUCCUGGAAUCACUAAAUCUCUGCAAGGUUGGUCAGUACUUGAAGUGCCCAAAGUGGCCGAUAUGGGUUGUGGGAAGUGAAAGUCACUACACAGUCCUUUUUGCCUUGAACCCCAACGUUCAAGAGGAGAAUGAGCUGGAAGAGCGCGAAUCAAAAAUAAGGAGGGCUUUUGAUGCCCAAGAUCAAAGUGGAGGUGGAGGCUUUAUCAGCGUUGAGGGCUUCCAACAAGUCCUCAGGGAUACUGACAUAAAUUUUCCUUCGGAUAAACUCGAGGACCUAUGUAAUGCUGGAAUUAUAGUAUGGAGUGAAUUCUGGCAAGCAUUGCUACAGUUGGAUAAAAGGGCUGGAGGCAUGAAGGAUCCAACUGGUCUUAUGGGCAAGAAGCAAUUCACCAUCUUCCACUUCAAUGGAAUUGCCAAGUCUGUGCUGAAUGGGAAUGCGAGUGCAGGUGGUUCAUGUCCUAUACAGAGACCCAGGUUAUGCAAGCUAAAUGUCACUGUCCCCCCAAGGUGGACUCAAGAUGAGUAUCUGGCUGAUGUUGUAAGCGCAUCAACCAGCAGCAGCAAGGACGACAGUAUUCUUUCUCUAGCUCCCCCAGGUCAGACUAAUCAGCACGCACCAUUGGUGGACUGCAUUAGGACACGGUGGCCACGAGCUGUUUGUAGCUGGGUUGGAGAUGUUCCAAGCAUUGUCUGACACAGUGGAUGUCGUGUGCGCACUAGUCGCUCUAGCUAUGUUGCUCGUAACCUCGUUCUGAAGAAUCUGCUCAGAGCAAGCCACUUGGAGCUUCCUGAUUGUUCAUGCCCUG